rnacentral:snoRNA from 1 species
AUCCCACGAUGAGGACACGAAGUAACUCCUUGAAUCGCUCCCAAGCCUCAUACAAAGACUCGUUAUCCAAUUUUUAGAAAGUUGUUAUCUCAUUCCUCAACUU